AAGAAACCAACAGGGAUUGCCUUAGUAGCGGCGAGUGAAGCGGCAAAAGCUCAAAUUUGAAAUCUGGCGCCUUCGGUGUCCGAGUUGUAAUUUGAAGAUUGUAACCUUGGGGUUGGCUCUUGUCUAUGUUUCUUGGAACAGGACGUCACAGAGGGUGAGAAUCCCGUGCGAUGAGAUGCCCAAUUCUAUGUAAGGUGCUUUCGAAGAGUCGAGUUGUUUGGGAAUGCAGCUCUAAGUGGGUGGUAAAUUCCAUCUAAAGCUAAAUAUUGGCGAGAGACCGAUAGCGAACAAGUACAGUGAUGGAAAGAUGAAAAGAACUUUGAAAAGAGAGUGAAAAAGUACGUGAAAUUGUUGAAAGGGAAGGGUUUGAGAUCAGACUCGAUAUUUUGUGAGCCUUGCCUUCGUGGCGGGGUGACCCGCAGCUUAUCGGGCCAGCAUCGGUUUGGGCGGUAGGAUAAUGGCGUAGGAAUGUGACUUUACUUCGGUGAAGUGUUAUAGCCUGCGUUGAUGCUGCCUGCCUAGACCGAGGACUGCGAUUUUAUCAAGGAUGCUGGCAUAAUGAUCCCAAACCGCCCGUCUU
rnacentral:rRNA from 1 species